GACGAACGCUGGCGGCGUGCUUAACACAUGCAAGUCGAACGCUGAACCCGCUUCGGUGGGGGAUGAGUGGCGAACGGGUGCGUAACACGUGGGCAACCUGCCCCCGGCUCUGGGAUAACUCCAAGAAAUUGGGGCUAAUACCGGCUGUGACCGCUGGCCGCAUGGUCUGGUGGUGGAAAGGGUUUCCGGCUGGGGAUGGGCCCGCGGCCUAUCAGCUUGUUGGUGGGGUAGUGGCCUACCAAGGCGACGACGGGUAGCCGGCCUGAGAGGGUGACCGGCCACACUGGGACUGAGAGACGGCCCAGACUCCUACGGGAGGCAGCAGUGGGGAAUAUUGCGCAAUGGGCGGAAGCCUGACGCAGCGACGCCGCGUGGGGGAUGACGGCCUUCGGGUUGUAAACCUCUUUCAGCAGGGACGAAGCGCAAGUGACGGUACCUGCAGAAGAAGCACCGGCCAACUACGUG
rnacentral:rRNA from 1 species